rnacentral:rRNA from 1 species
AUGGCUGUACAUACAAGUUUCUUUCUUGGAUGUCUAUUAUCUGUUUUUCUGCUAGCUUUGAUUUCUCUUUUUGGUCAGUUGAAACGGUUAGUCUUGAUAGGUCGACCACUUAUAUUGUUUCGAAGGUUCAAUGAGCAUAUGAUAAAGAAAGGUAUCAAUAGAUUCACCAAUGUAGAUUACAAGAGUAAAGGUUUAUCUAAUGAGGCCUUGUCGCGGCGCUGCAAGUGUUGCCCCCCUCAUCCCCAAGGGCUAGGUGAAGGAGGGUGCAUGUGUGGUUCUUUUGCAGCUCGCAGCGAGGAUUCUUGUGUCCAACCUGCACAAGAAUGCCAAGAAGUCAUUCUCGGAUAUGAUUAA